rnacentral:tRNA from 1 species
GAGCCUGUGGCUCUGUGGUAGAGCAUUCGGCUCAAAUACCAAAGGUCGCGGGUUCGAAUCCCAGGUGUG